UAUGAGCCCUAGGCGUUCUAUCAGAGAGCUCCUUCUGCGUGGGCUGCUCUUUGGGAUGUAUAAACCCACUUGUGUAACUCUCCAGAGGACUAAAACCAGCUUGAUUGAAUGCUACGUAUGGCUUGGCAGCGUAGAUGCAGCAUUACCAAGACACUGAGCAGAGUUGUAUCAGAGUCACCUCUUUCAUCUGCAAAGGGUGCUUUGUGCAGUUGUGGAGAGGGAAGGGAAAUCUUCAUGUCAGGAAGCUCUGAGGGAAGGUGAGUGGUGUCAGCCUGGUCAUGCCUUAUCCGAAGCAAAGGGAAGACGCUCAGGUGUUUCCCUGUGAGGGUCCGAGGUGAGGCUGAUUGGGAUAGAGGAGCAGUGUGGCAGGUGGGUGCUUGCAAGCACCGCGGUCAUUGUAUCCUUUUGUGU